UUGGGAGCAAAGGCGGCGCAGGUUCCUGACACAGCCGUCUGCAGGUAGUUCAAGAUGAGCACCUUCCGGCGGCCCAGCCUGUCGGGGGAAGGAAGACCUGCAACACGGGUCCUGAGGACCAGCAGGGCCAGGCUAAGCUGGAAGAGGGGCGCUUGCCCUGGUAAACCUCUGGAUACAGCACAGGAACAGCUAGGACAUCCUGGGAGCCACCCUGGAUUCUGGACAACUGAAAGAUGGGGAUGGGGGGGCAUGGGUUUGAGCCCUGGUCGGGGAAGAUCCCACAUGCUGCAGAGCAACUAAGCCCGUGCGCCACAACUACUGAGCCUGAAUGCUGCAACUACUGAAGCCCGCAUGCCUAGAACCCAUGCUCCGCAACAAGAGAAGCUACCGCAAUGGGAAGCCCGCACAUCGCAAUGAUGAGUAUUCCCUGCUCGCCACAACUAGAGAAAGCCUGCACG